ensembl:lncRNA
GUGGUGGUGGAGGACCCCCACCUGUUUUUCGGGCCUCCGCUUUUUUUCUGUUGGCUAUAACGGGCCACAUUUGAGCAUACAGAGUAAGCAAAUAUGUACUUGUAAUGUGCUCAGAUAAUUUCAAUAAGUGCUUACAGAAAGAAAAUUAAUGUAGCCUCUAACUGCAAUUGAUUUACAUGGGACAAACAGACCAAGCACUAUGGCUCAUAAUACAAUUACACCUUACCUGUUUGGACUAUAUUUUUAUAUUUCAUUUUUACUUGCUGCCAGGCACGUUUGGGGCCUGUUGGGUUGCACCUGCGCUCACAUCACAUCACAAAAUAAAAUGUAUAUGUAGUGGCAAUUCCUUUACUUUUGUAAGAUCAAACGUCCCACAACUUAAAGUCCACAAGCCACUGCUGCACUGAGGUAAUAUUUCGUACGCAGGCAAAAGAAGUCCAUUGUCCAAACCUUUUAGUUGAGAGUUUUGGUUUUGGUUUAUUUAUCCAUUUGGCAAGCAAUAACAAGAUCCUUCCUACUGCUUCUCCUGCUCUGGUAAAAAACCAUAGGCCCACCCCAAUGCAUGCUGGUCCUAUACCAGUCUCUUUAUUUAUAGAAACAAAAUGGCCCUACAGCUCUUACUGACUAAUUUAACAAAAUAACAACAAACAAAACAAAUCAUUUCAAACAAAAUAUUAACCGACAAAUAAACCCCAAAAUAUAAGUAAACUAACAACAAACUUUAACUAAUUUCAAAAAUAAGAACAAAAACAAAAAUAAAGAACAAAUAGCUCCAACAGUAUAAAAUAACAAAUAAAAUAACAUAUGAUAAAAUAACGUGUUAAAUGGGUGGAAAUCCCUCGAUCAAUGUUUAAAUUAACACUCACGCAUUGACUCUGUCGGCUAUGUUUUGCCAUGCAUGCUUUUGCAGCUGUGGCUGUGUUACUUUUUUCCGCGGAAUUUGCAUGUUAUCGGCAUAUGCUGCCAUCAGAAUUUCGGCCUCAAGCGCUGUGAAAUACAUUGACCGCGCCUUCUUUCCCUCCGUCUCCAUGGUGACUCGCUUAAUCUGUGCUCCGCUUAUCAGGGCUUUAUGUAUCCUCGUCCGCGCGCUUCACUUGGGGUUAAAGCAACUCCGCGUUGACUGAACUAAUUGUUAUCAGCCUUUCUGAAACGGAAUAUUCCGAGUUGGACAGUUCGGGGUUACUCAACCGUGAGUGUCGUUUUUCACUCUGAGUUUUCCAAACCGGCUUCCUGAAACAGGGCCCUGGUGGUGGAGCGUGAGGGGUGGUUCCCUAUUUUUUAUUUAUUUAUUUUUGUUGUUGCUGGGAGUUGGAACCCUAUUAGUUAGGUUGCUUAAUAUUUACGCUAAGUACUCUUUAAAAUACCAGAAUAGGGAGGAUGGUGUAGGUUUAUGUUUAUUAGAUUGAUCAGUAUUGCUGAACUAUGAAAUAUUUUUUUUUUGCAUACAGGUAUAACAGAAUAGCUUUUGUGUAGUUGUUGUUUUAAACUUGAGUAUGAACUUAUACAAAAUGCAGCAAGAUAUUUAAAAAAAAAAGUUUUGUUGAUUAAAAAACACUAUAUCGGAUUCAUAUCGGUAUCGGCAGAUAUCCAAAUUUAUGAUAUCGGAAUCGGUAUCGGACAUAAAAAAGUGGUAUCG